CGGGGGGCAGCAGUGGGGAAUCUUGCACAAUGGAGGAAACUCUGAUGCAGCGAUGCCGCGUGAGUGAAGAAGGCCUUUGGGUUGUAAAGCUCUUUUGUAGGGGAAGAUAAUGACUGUACCCUAAGAAUAAGGUCCGGCUAACUUCGUGCCAGCAGCCGCGGUAAUACGAAGGGACCUAGCGUAGUUCGGAAUUACUGGGCGUAAAGCGCGCGUAGGCCGUUGAGUUAGUUAAUUGUGAAAUCCCAAAGCUUAACUUUGGAACUGCAAUUAAAACUGCUCGACUAGAGUUUGAUAGAGGAAAGCGGAAUACAUAGUGUAGAGGUGAAAUUCGUAGAUAUUAUGUAGAACACCAGUUGCGAAGGCGGCUUUCUGGAUCAACACUGACGCUGAGGCGCGAAAGUAUGGGUAGCAAAGAGGAUUAGAUACCCGAGU
rnacentral:rRNA from 1 species